GGACAACUGAAACAGGACCAAAUGACAGAAUGCUUAAGUUUGGACUUUACCACAUAAAAUUUGAUUUAAAACUAUUUUGGACGAUUUACCCUCUCUUAAAAUUUUCUAGAUGUACCCUCUAACCAGUGGAACCAAAAGAAAAAAAAAUUAUGUAUAAAAAAUGACUGUAUCACCAAAGUUAGUAUAAUCUAGCUUAAAAUGGAUUAAACUGGCUUUGUUUAAUGAUUUCCUGUUUUCCUCACCAUGAACAUGAUUCUAACAAUUCAUCACAU
rnacentral:lncRNA from 1 species